rnacentral:tRNA from 1 species
GCAUUCGUGGUUCAGUGGUAGAUUCCUUGCCUUCCAUGCAGGAUGUCUGGGUUUGAUUCCCAGUCAAUACA